rnacentral:rRNA from 1 species
CGCCCCGCAAGGGGAGUGGCAGACGGGUGAGUAACACGUGGGAACCUUCCCUAUAGUACGGAAUAGCCCAGGGAAACUUGGAGUAAUACCGUAUACGCCCGAAAGGGGAAAGAAUUUCGCUAUAGGAUGGGCCCGCGUAGGAUUAGCUAGUUGGUGAGGUAAUGGCUCACCAAGGCGACGAUCCUUAGCUGGUUUGAGAGAACGACCAGCCACACUGGGACUGAGACACGGCCCAGACUCCUACGGGAGGCAGCAGUGGGGAAUAUUGGACAAUGGGCGCAAGCCUGAUCCAGCCAUGCCGCGUGAGUGAUGAAGGCCUUAGGGUUGUAAAGCUCUUUUGCCGGGGACGAUAAUGACGGUACCCGGAGAAUAAGUCCCGGCUAACUUCGUGCCAGCAGCCGCGGUAAUACGAAGGGGACUAGCGUUGUUCGGAAUCACUGGGCGUAAAGCGCACGUAGGCGGAUUCGUAAGUCAGGGGUGAAAUCCCGGGGCUCAACCUCGGAACUGCCUUUGAUACUGCGGGUCUUGAGUCCGAUAGAGGUGGGUGGAAUUCCUAGUGUAGAGGUGAAAUUCGUAGAUAUUAGGAAGAACACCG